GCUUUACUGUAGCUUGGUAUUGGGUUCGGGUCCUGAUUGCGCAGGAUAGGUGGGAGACUGAGAAGCAGUCCUUGUGGGGAUUGUGGAGUCACCGGUGAGAUACCACUCUAUCAGGACUAGAAUUCUAACCUUCAGCCGUUAUCCGGCGAGGGGACAGUAUCAGGUGGGCAGUUUGACUGGGGCGGUCGCCUCCUAAAUGGUAACGGAGGCGCGCAAAGGUUCCCUCCGGCUGGUUGGAAAUCAGCCUUCGAGUGUAAAGGCAUAAGGGAGCUUGACUGCGAGACUGACAAGUCGAGCAGGGUGGAAACACGGCCUUAGUGAUCCGACGGUUCCGCGUGGAAGGGCCGUCGCUCAACGGAUAAAAGUUACUCUA
rnacentral:rRNA from 1 species